rnacentral:rRNA from 1 species
CCUACGGGUGGCUGCAGUGAGGAAUAUUGGUCAAUGGGCGCGAGCCUGAACCAGCCAAGUCGCGUGAGGGAAGACGGUCCUAUGGAUUGUAAACCUCUUUUGUCGGGGAGCAAAAGACGCCACGCGUGGCUUUCCGAGAGUACCCGAAGAAAAAGCAUCGGCUAACUCCGUGCCAGCAGCCGCGGUAAUACGGGGGAUGCGAGCGUUAUCCGGAAGGACUGGGCGUAAAGGUUGCGUAGGUGGGUUAGUAAGUUGGCGGUGUAAGUCCGGGGCUCAACCUCGGCGCUACCGACAACACUAUUAGACUAGAGGGCAGGAGGGGUAAGUGGAAUUCCUAGGGUAGCGGUGGAAUGCGUAGAUAUUAGGAGGAACAUCAGGGGCGAAGGCGACUUACUGGACUGUAACUGACACUGAGGCACGAAAGCGUGGGGAGCAAACAGGAUUAGAUACCCCUGUAGUC